rnacentral:rRNA from 1 species
UACGUAGGGUGCGAGCGUUAAUCGGAAUUACUGGGCGUAAAGCGCGUGUAGGCGGCGGUGCAAGUCGGGUGUGAAAGCCCUGGGCUCAACCCAGGAAGUGCAUUCGAUACUGCGCUGCUAGAGUCCCGGAGAGGAUGGUGGAACUCUCGGUGUAGAGGUGAAAUUCGUAGAUAUCGAGAAGAACACCGGUGGCGAAGGCGGCCAUCUGGACGGUGACUGACGCUGAGACGCGAAAGCGUGGGGAGCAAACAGG